rnacentral:rRNA from 1 species
CAGUCGCCGCGGUAAUACGUAGGGUGCGAGCGUUAAUCGGAAUUACUGGGCGUAAAGCGUGCGCAGGCGGUUAUGCAAGACAGAUGUGAAAUCCCCGGGCUUAACCUGGGAACUGCAUUUGUGACUGCAUGGCAAGAGUGCGGCAGAGGGGGAUGGAAUUCCGCGUGUAGCAGUGAAAUGCGUAGAUAUGCGGAGGAACACCGAUGGCGAAGGCAAUCCCCUGGGCCUGCACUGACGCUCAUGCACGAAAGCGUGGGGAGCAAACAGGAUUAGAUACCCCCGUAGUCCCUGUCUCUUAUAC